rnacentral:rRNA from 1 species
GACGAACGCUGGCGGCGUGCUUAACACAUGCAAGUCGAACGGUGAAGCGCCUUCCUUUUUGGUGGGUGUGGAUGAGUGGCGAACGGGUGAGUAACACGUGAGUAACCUGCCCCCUACUUCUGGAUAACCGCAUGAAAGUGUGGCUAAUACGGGAUAUUCUGGGUCUGUCGCAUGAUGGGUCUGGGAAAGAUAUUGUUUCGGUGGGGGAUGGGCUCGCGGCCUAUCAGCUUGUUGGUGGGGUGGUGGCCUACCAAGGCGGUGACGGGUUGCCGGCCUGGGAGGGUCGGCCACCACAGUGGUGCGGAGCCGCGGCCCCUACUACUGCGGGAGGCAGCAGGGGAUAAUGUUGCACAGUCGGCGCCAUCCUGCAGCAGUGCCGCCUCGUGGGAGAAGGAGUCCGUCUUGUUGAGAACCUCUUGCGCCAGUGAAGCAGGCCUGGCUCGUUUGUGGGUGGGUUGACGUUACCUGGAGAAGAAGCGCCGGCUAACUACGUG